ensembl:lncRNA
ACUUUCAACUGAUUCAAUUUUGCUCCACAAGACAUUGUAUCUGAGCCUUUCUGGAGACUAUUCAAAGCAAAUCAUUUUCAUUUUACCAUUUGGAGGUGCUUUUCCUGUUAGUGAUCCCUAUAUAGCACCGGAUUUGUGCAGCAGCCCACAGACUGCGUCCCAAGCAGAGUAGAAUAGGUACCUUAGGAAAUCCUGGGUUAUGAUAGACUCUUGGAAUUCAGCUUAAUACCACCACCAGGCUGCGGAAGAGACACCAUGCAGACAUAGAGAUAAUUCACAGCUUGGGUUCUUUUCAAAGUCGCGUGCCCACUGCCAAGAGGAUCAGACCCACGGAAUCCCACUUGUUCAAUCCUGCUGCUGUGUGCCUACCAGGACACACUCAGGGGCUGCUGAGCCAGCAUCCAAGCGCAGAUUCCGAGGACACAUAAAGUUCUCCCUCUGUACUGCGGAGCUGUGCCCGUAGGUACCGUGAAUGGACACAGUUUUCCAGGCAGGCAUCAGAGGAGAGCAUGCCACUUGGACCAGCAGCGUAUCACAUCAACACAACUGCGUGGACAAGUCUUCAUAAGUGCUCGAUUUCUAUGCAAAAUGGAAAAACAGAUAGAAAACAAGGCCCCAUGGAUGGUAAACUAUGAAAUGUCCAACACAAGCACAUGCCAAGGGCCAGGACUGCAGCCAGUUUCUGUGCUGGACUGAGCUUUUACUUUGCUUCCCAUCUCAGUUGUUCCUGGUUACGCUGCUCCCAUGUGCUCUCACACCUCUGAACACUGAUUUUGGGUCUCAGAACUCUGGGACUGACUUCUCUCAUGCCAACAUCCAUCCAGAAUAACACAACCAAUUGGAAUUAUCCCUGAAGCACUGGCAGGCAAGAGAAGCACGAACCCAAUGAUUCAUCUUUUAGUUAGGCAGUUAUCUCUAUUACAACAGAAACCCAAUUUUCAGGCCUUUUCUUAGACUUCACCUAGCCAGACUCCCCUGUUGCUGACUUUGGGGAGGUCCCACUGAGAUCAGACCCCCCUGCGAUGUUCUUACAGUGUGGGCAGGUGGUGGCGAUGGUUCUUGGUCUCAUGACAUUUAUGUGUCAGAGCAGGAUGUUACCUGUGAGCUUGUAUCAAACGCAGCAUCCAUCCGGAGAUUACCUCUUGUGCAGGACUCUACACAGCAGGGCAGUUUUGGAAUAAGUUUGGAGACUUUCAAGGAAGAUCCCUCUGGGAUGGGGUCAUCUUGCCAACAAAAGGCUGAUUCACAGAUGAGAUGACUAAGUACACCAAGCAUUCCUAGGCCCCUGCGUUACUCACAGGUCUUUCAUCUGACGCCAUGUCCCAGCGCAGCCAAAAGGCAUGGUGCAGCCAAGUGACAGCAGAGGGGAGCCAUGAUGGGGGAGGCCCCAGGUCCUUCCCCUGCCACCCCAUCACUCACAGCUGCUGAGGUCCCUUCCCUACCCACUGAGGCCCCUUUCCUACCUGCAUCUGUCCAGCUUUGGAGAAAGACAUGCCAUGAGACCUGGAGGCAGCCAAGAGCAGUCUCUGGUAUGUAUGCAAAAGCCUCCAAAUGUCUUUAUCCUCG